rnacentral:rRNA from 1 species
UACGUAGGGUGCAGGCGUUAAUCGGAAUUACUGGGCGUAAAGCGUGCGCAGGCGGUCUGCUAAGGGAGAUGUGAAAUCCCCGGGCUUAACCUGGGAACUGCGUUUCUAACUGGCAGGCUUGAGUGUGGCAGAGGGGGGUGGAAUUCCACGUGUAGCAGUGAAAUGCGUAGAGAUGUGGAGGAACACCGAUGGCGAAGGCAGCCCCCUGGGCUAACACUGACGCUCAUGCACGAAAGCGUGGGGAGCAAACAGG